AAGAAAUCUGCUCAUGCUUACAAAUAAACCGAAAUACUUAAAUCACAUGCUGUUCAUGUCCAGUUAAUGACAUAUUACUAAAAUCUGCACAUUCUGAUUUAUUCUAACAAAGUGGGACACAUGGAAAGGAUGCAGUUAAUACUUAAUGAAGUUAAUACUUAUUGAACUAAAAUUCUGCACUUAUCAAAUCUACAACUAAAAUCCGGAAACCAAAGAAACCACAUCCGAAACACUAACUAUAAGGCUGUUCUGUACUGCAUACUUUAAAUAAAGGCUAUUCUUGCCUUUUUGAGUUGCAAGGAAGAUACUAAUCCUAUUCUUAUACAUGGCAGCGAGAUGAAACACUAAUACUACAAAGUGAACAGCCGAAAUUCUCAAAAAUCAGCAAGCAUAAAUAGAACCUGUUUACACACUUUGAUUUGCAAUCUAGAUCAUGCUAACCUUCUAGAAAAGAACUAAACUCAACAAUAACUAGCAUACCUAGCCAAUGUUAUAGAUUAGCUACGCCACUGAUUUGUAUCUCACAGCAGGAAACAACAUAACAGGUAAUCUAAACAUUUCUUACUGCGCUUACUUGCUAAGAAUUAAAAUGAACUCCUUCUAUACAUUUAAACUCAAACCAUAAAUUAGCAUGCUUAAUAUGUAUGCUACGGAAGGUAAGGAAUGAAAGGGAAAAAAAAAACCCUAGCUUAUAAUCCUGUUCAACAGCCACCCAAGCAGGAAACUUUCGGCACAGCAACUUAGCAUGGCAAUUUGGCAUAGCAACUUCAAAAA